rnacentral:rRNA from 1 species
GGAGGAAAAGAAACUAACAAGGAUUCCCCUAGUAACUGCGAGUGAAGCGGGAAGAGCUCAAAUUUUGAAUCUGAUGGUCUUUUCGGCCGUCCGAGUUGUAAUCUAGAGAAGCGUUUUCCGCGCUGGACCGUGUACAAGUCUCCUGGAAGGGAGCGUCGUAGAGGGUGAGAAUCCCGUCUUUGACACGGACCGCCAGUGCUAUGUGAUGCGCUCUCGACGAGUCGAGUUGUUUGGGAAUGCAGCUCAAAACGGGUGGUAAAUUCCAUCUAAAGCUAAAUACAGGCGAGAGACCGAUAGCGAACAAGUACCGUGAGGGAAAGAUGAAAAGAACUUUGGAAAGAGAGUUAAACAGUACGUGAAAUUGCUGAAAGGGAAACGCUUGAUGUCAGUCGCGUCGGCCGGGGAUCAACCUUGCGUUUCUUCGCUGGGUGUACUUCCUGGUCGACGGGUCAGCGUCAGUUUCGGUCACCGUACAAGGGCGAGGGGAACGUGGCACUCUUCGGAGUGUGUUAUAGCCUUUCGUCGCAUGCGGUGGUGGGGACUGAGGAACUCAGCACGGCCUCGGCUUGUGUUUAGGAUGCUGGCAUAAUGGCCUUGAGCGACCC